GAUUCCCUUAGUAGCGGCGAGCGAAAAGGGAACWGUCCAGCGCCAAGUCUUGACAYUCAGGUGUUCAAGAGAUGCGGCGUUAAUGUAUUGGUGCAUCGUGCAUUGUUUCACGUUUCAAGUUCCUUUGACAGGGACAUCCAGAGCGGGUGCUAGGCCCAUAGAGACGAGAAACUAGUGUACGCCGGCCAAUGCAUUCUAGAGUCAGGUUGCUUGAGAGUGCAGCUUAAAGUGGGUGGUAAACUCCAUCUAAGACUAAAUAUUACAGCGAGACCGAUAGCAAACAAGUACCGUGAGGGAAAGUUGCAAAGCACUUUGAAGAGAGAGUCAAACAGUACGUGAAACCACUGGGAGGCAAACAGAUGGAACCACGAAGUGAGCGCCUCGGUCGAUUCAAUCAUCUUCAUUGGUUGUUGGCGUUGAUGAAGGGUUUCUUCGGAAGCUGCAUCAAUGCUGUCAAAUCGAUGGAGAUGGUGCAUUUCGUGCCGAGGAUGCAAAGCCACGUUCAAUCAGAUAGUUGGAACGGCUGUAGGACAGGAUCGGAGAAAGGUGCCCGGCAAGUGCUUGCAUUUGUCGGCGUUAUAGACUCUGAUUGGCACCGURRCCUAACAAACUGAUUGAUGUAAGUUCUCCUUCGGGAGUUUGGAACUGUAUCUGCCUGCGAUCGUUAGCAAAGGUUCAGGAGUGUUCUUUACGUGUCUUUGGAUGCGAAAAGCCAUUCUGACAACUUUUGUUCGCGGUUGUUUGCGUGAUACGGUGGAACUGUGGCGCGAGUAGGUCGGUCUCCAUCUGACCCGUCUUGAAACACGGACCAAGGAGCCUAUCAUAUACGCGAGUCGCUCGGUCUUGUUUAGGCCCGGGAGGCGAAAUGAAAGUAAAGCUAUGAGACUUCGGUCGCAAUAGCGGCCCGCCUACUUCGUUURUUGGCGAUCAGGCGGAGCUGGAGCGUAUACGAUGGUACCCGAAAGAUGGUGAACUAUGCCUGGGCAAGACGAAGCCAGAGGAAACUCUGGUGGAGGUCUGUAGCGAUUCUGACGUGCAAAUCGAUCGUCAGACCUGGGUAUAGGGGCGAAAGACUAAUCGAACCAUCUAGUAGCUGGUUCCCUCCGAAGUUUCCCUCAGGAUAGCAGGCGUUUAUUUAGAAUCAGUCUCAUCCGGUAAAGCGAAUGAUUAGAGGUCUUGGGGCUGAAACGGCCUCAACCUAUUCUCAAACUUUGAAUGGGUGAGAUGGUUGACUUUCUUGAUUGAAGCCAACCAUUUGGAUGUAAGUGCCUAGUGGGCCAUUUUUGGUAAGCAGAACUGGCGCUGUGGGAUGAACCAAACGUCGAGAUAAGGUAUCAAAUGCGCACGCUCAUCAGACCCCAUGAAAGGUGUUGGUUGCUAUAGACAGCAGGACGGUGGCCAUGGAAGUCGGAAUCC
rnacentral:rRNA from 1 species